CCCGUCACACACGCAGAACAUUCACACGGCGGACACCACUGUGAAACUGACCGGAGCCGGUCCAGCCCCAGCCGCUGCCCAACUCGGACUUCAGCCGUCGGCCGAGUCGGCGCAGGUCGCUGGGCGCCGCGGAUGGCGCCAAGAGGAGCGUGCGCCGCGCCUGGACCAUUUCCAGCGGCAGCAGUCCUCGCUGGAGCGUGCCCCGGCGCGAGGUCCGCGAGUACUCCAGCCUGCCGCGGCACCGCAGCUCGGCCGACU